AUUGAACGCUGGCGGAAUGCUUUACACAUGCAAGUCGAACGGCAGCACGGACUUCGGUCUGGUGGCGAGUGGCGAACGGGUGAGUAAUGUAUCGGAACGUGCCCAGUCGUGGGGGAUAACGUAGUGAAAAUUACGCUAAUACCGCAUACGAUCUAUGGAUGAAAGCGGGGGAUCGCAAGACCUCGCUCGAUUGGAGCGGCCGAUAUCAGAUUAGGUAGUUGGUGGGGUAAAGGCCCACCAAGCCAACGAUCUGUAGCUGGUCUGAGAGGACGACCAGCCACACUGGAACUGAGACACGGUCCAGACUCCUACGGGAGGCAGCAGUGGGGAAUUUUGGACAAUGGGCGAAAGCCUGAUCCAGCCAUUCCGCGUGCAGGAUGAAGGCCCUCGGGUUGUAAACUGCUUUUGUACAGAACGAAAAGGUUUCCACUAAUACUAGGAGCUCAUGACGGUACUGUAAGAAUAAGCACCGGCUAACUACGUGCCAGCCGCCGCGGUAA
rnacentral:rRNA from 1 species